rnacentral:rRNA from 1 species
GACGAACGCUGGCGGCGUGCUUAACACAUGCAAGUCGAACGGAAAGGCCCUGCUUUUGUGGGGUGCUCGAGUGGCGAACGGGUGAGUAACACGUGAGUAACCUGCCCUUGACUUUGGGAUAACUUCAGGAAACUGGGGCUAAUACCGGAUAGGAGCUCCUGCUGCAUGGUGGGGGUUGGAAAGUUUCGGCGGUUGGGGAUGGACUCGCGGCUUAUCAGCUUGUUGGUGGGGUAGUGGCUUACCAAGGCUUUGACGGGUGGCCGGCCUGAGAGGGUGACCGGCCACAUGGGGACUGAGAUACGGCCCAGACGCCUACGGGAGGCAGCAGCGGGGAAUAUUGCACAAUGGGCGGAAGCCUGAUGCAGCAACGCCGCGUGCGGGAUGACGGCCUUCGGGUUGUAAACCGCUUUCGCCUGUGACGAAGCGUGAGUGACGGUAAUGGGUAAAGAAGCACCGGCUAACUACGUG